UACGUAGGGUCCGAGCGUUGUCCGGAAUUAUUGGGCGUAAAGGGCUCGUAGGCGGUCCGUCACGUCGGGAGUGAAAACUCAGGGCUCAACCCUGAGCGUGCUUCCGAUACGGGCGGACUAGAGGUAUGCAGGGGAGAACGGAAUUCCUGGUGUAGCGGUGAAAUGCGCAGAUAUCAGGAGGAACACCGGUGGCGAAAGGCGGUUCUCUUGGGAAUAUCCUGACGCUGAGGAGCGAAAGUGUGGGGAGCGAACAGG
rnacentral:rRNA from 1 species